rnacentral:rRNA from 1 species
CUCGAUGUUUAUGGGAGGUCUAGCCUGCCCACUGAAGGAGUUAAAGGGCCGCGGUAUUUUGACCGUGCAAAGGUAGCAUAAUCAUUAGUCUUCUAAUUAAAGGCUGGAAUGAAUGGCUGGACGAGGUAUUAGCUGUCUCUUUGGGAGAGGUUUGAAUUUAACUUUCUAGUGAAAAGGCUGGGAUAGUAUUGGAGGACGAGAAGACCCUAUAGAGCUUUACAUUUACUGUUACUUUAAUUGGUUUGGUUGGAGUUAGAUUUUGUGGCAGGAGUGUUUCGUUGGGGUGACGAGAAGAAAUAAGAAACUCUUCUUGGAAUGAACCACAAAUUAGUGAUUGAUUGAUCCACUUUUAGUGAUUAGAAGACUAAGUUACCUUAGGGAUAACAGCGUAAUCUUUUUUGAGAGUUCUAAUCGACAAGAAGGGUUGCGACCUCGAUGUUGGACUAAGGAUGAUUCUUGGGUGCAGAAGUUCAAGGUUUAGGUCUGUUCGACCUUCGAAUCCUUA